rnacentral:rRNA from 1 species
UCAAGCUAUAAAGAGCGCAGGGUGGAUGCCUUGGCACUAAGAGCCGAUGAAAGACGUGAUAAGCUGCGAAAAGCUUCGGGGAGGAGCAAAUAUCCAUUGAUCCGGAGAUAUCUGAAUGGGGAAACCCGGCUGAGCAACCCUCAGUCACCGUACAGUGAAUCCAUAGCUGUGCGGAGGGAACCCGGUGAACUGAAACAUCUAAGUAGCCGGAGGAAAAGAAAGAAACAUCGAUUCCGGGAGUAGCGGCGAGCGAAACCGGAAGAGCCUAAACCAGCGUGCGUGCAUGCUGGGGUUACGGACUGCAUAAGUGAGCUGAUUCGUUAAUGGAACGGGCUGGGAAGCCCGGCCAGAGAGAGUGAGAGCCUCGUACAUGAAAGCGAUAGGCAGCGGCAGGAUCCAGAGUACCGCGGGACACGAGAAACCCUGCGGGAAGUCGGAGGGACCACCCUCCAAGGCUAAAUACUCCUUAGUGACCGAUAGCGCAUAGUACUGUGAAGGAAAGGUGAAAAGGACCCCGGGAGGGGAGUGAAAGAGAACCUGAAACCCUGUGUUUACAAGCUGUGGGAGCACGUUAAGGUGCGACCGCGUACUUUUUGUAGAACGGUCCGGCGAGUUGCCGGCGCUGGCAAGGUUAAGCGGUAAAGCCGUGGAGCCGAAGGGAAACCAAGUCUCAAAUGGGCGUAAAGUCAGCGCAGGCAGACCCGAAACCGGGUGACCUAUCCAUGUCCAGGUUGAAGCGGAAGUAAAAUUCCGUGGAGGACCGGAUCCACAUCCGUUGAAAAGGGUGGGAAUGAGGUGUGGAUAGGGGAGAAAUUCCAAUCGAACCCGGAGAUAGCUGGUUCUCCUCGAAAUAGCUUUAGGGCUAGCCUCGUAUUAGUUUAGCGGAGGUAGAGCACUGAAUUCCUAAGGGGGCGUCAAAGCUUACCAAGGGAUAUCAAACUCCGAAUGCCGCGUAAAUGAUGUAUGGGAGUCAGACUGCACGAGAUAAGUUGGGCAGUCAAAAGGGAAAGAGCCCAGACCUACAGCUAAGGUCCCAAAGUGUGUGUUAAGUGGAAAAGGAUGUGGGAUUUCAGAGACAACCAGGAUGUUGGCUUAGAAGCAGCCACACAUUCAAAGAGUGCGUAAUAGCUCACUGGUCGAGAGGUCCUGCGCCGAAAAUGUCCGGGGCUGAAACACAACACCGAAGCUUAGGAACGAGAGAUCGUUGGUAGAGGAGCAUUCUUAAAGGGGCGAAGCAGUACCGGCAAGGAGCUGUGGACUUUUAAGAAGAGAGAAUGCCGGAAUGAGUAGCGAGAUGGAGGUGGGAAUCCUCCAGGCCGAAUAUCUAAGGUUUCCAGAGUAAAGCUGAUCUGCUCUGGGUAAGUCGGGGCCUAAGGCGAGGCUGAAAAGCGUAGCCGAUGGACAACAGGUUGAGAUUCCUGUACCGCGUAUCAUCAGAACUGUGGGGACACAGAAGGACAGCACAUCCCGGGAAUGGGAAGACCGGGGCAAGCAGGGUAGGAGUCAGACAGGCAAAUCCGUCUGGCAAUCCGAAGCUGUGAUGCGGAGCGAACAGAAGUAGCGAAGUGUGCGAUUCCAGCUGUCAAGAAAAGCCGCUAUUGUGUGAUACGUGCCCGUACCGUAAACCGACACAGGUAGAUGAGGAGAGAAUCCUAAGGCCGGCGGGAGAAGCAUUGUUAAGGAACUCGGCAAAAUGACCCCGUAACUUCGGGAGAAGGGGUGCCCACUGAAUGGUGGGCCGCAGAGAAUAGGCUCAAGCAACUGUUUAGCAAAAACACAGGUCUAUGCAAAACCGAAAGGUGAGGUAUAUGGGCUGACGCCUGCCCGGUGCUGGAAGGUUAAGAGGAGAGGUUAGAGCAAUCGAAGCUUUGAAUUGAAGCCCCAGUAAACGGCGGCCGUAACUAUAACGGUCCUAAGGUAGCGAAAUUCCUUGUCGGGUAAGUUCCGACCCGCACGAAAGGCGUAAUGAUUUGGGCACUGUCUCAACAAUGCACCCGGUGAAAUUGAAAUACCAGUGAAGAUGCUGGUUACCUGCGCCAGGACGGAAAGACCCCAUGGAGCUUUACUCCAGCUUGAUACUGGGAUUCGGUACUGCAUGUACAGGAUAGGUGGGAGGCUUUGAAUCAUGGACGCCAGUCUGUGAGGAGCCGCUGUUGGGAUACCACCCUUGCGGUAUUGGAUUUCUAACCUGCAGCCAUGACCUGGCUGGGGGACAAUGUCAGGCGGGGAGUUUGACUGGGGCGGUCGCCUCCGAAAGGGUAUCGGAGGCGCUCAAAGGU